CCGGCUGAUGUGAUGCUUUAGUUGAUUCGAGAGGCUACAUGUAUAUAGGCCCAGUACGUCGACAUCAUUGAUCCGGCAGUGAACAAGAUAAGUGGUUCAGCCUCCAAGAUGUGUCACCAGAAAUGCAACCGACAUUAUAGACAGGCGUGAUUACUACUCUGAUUUUGGAUUGAUGGUAUACUCGUCUUCAAAGUGGACCUGACUAGGAAUGAUGAUGGUGACUUCCCUCCUCAGAAAAAAGCUCGG